rnacentral:misc_RNA from 1 species
UCCGAGUUGACCCCGGCAGUCUCCUGUGAGUCCCCGGCACGACCCGCUGGCAACACAGGACAAGGGUUGCGCUCGUUGCGGGACUUAACCCAACAUCUCACGACACGAGCUGACGACAACCAUGCACCACCUGUACGCGGCCCUUGCGGACCCCCCGUCUCCGGGGGUUUACCACGUAUGUCAAGCCUUGGUAAGGUUCUUCGCGUUGCGUCGAAUUAAGCCACAUGCUCCGCCGCUUGUGCGGGCCCCCGUCAAUUCCUUUGAGUUUUAGCCUUGCGGCCGUACUCCCCAGGCGGGGCGCUUAAUGCGUUAGCUGCGGCACGGAGGACGUGGAAAGCCCCCCACACCUAGCGCCCAACGUUUACGGCGUGGACUAC